rnacentral:rRNA from 1 species
AAUAGAUACCCAGGUAGUCCUAGCCGUAAACGAUACUCGCUAGGUGUCGGCCACGGUGCGACCGUUGUCGGUGCCGUAGGGAAGCCGUGAAGCGAGCCACCUGGGAAGUACGGCCGCAAGGCUGAAACUUAAAGGGAAUUGGCGGGGGAGCACCACAACGGGUGGAGCUUGCGGUUUAAUUGGAUUCAACGCCGGAAAUCUUACCGGGACCGACAGCAAUAUGAAGGCCAGGCUGAAGACUUUGCCGGAUUAGCUGAGAGGUGGUGCAUGGCCGUCGUCAGUUCGUACUGUGAAGCAUCCUGUUAAGUCAGGCAACGAGCGAGACCCACGCCCACAGUUGCCAGCGUACUCUCUGGAGUGACGGGUACACUGUGGGGACCGCCGCUGCUAAAGCGGAGGAAGGAAUGGGCAACGGUAGGUCAGGUAUGCCCCGAAUAUCCCGGGCUACACGCGAGCUACAAUGGUUGGUACAAUGGGUAUCUACCCCGAAAGGGACGGGAAUCUCCUAAAACCAAUCUUAGUUCGGAUUGAGGGCUGCAACUCGCCCUCA